AUACGGUAUGUCCAAAUUACACAAACUCCUGAUUCGAAUCCCACACUAUCAUUUACCUGCUUUGAGACUUUGAACAAGAUACCAAACUCAUGUGAGCCUCAAUUUCUUCAUUUGUAAACAAGAGAUAAUAAUAACACCACUUUGCAGGAUUGAAUGAGGAUUAAGCUAGGUGAAAAUAUCCAGCAAAAUAAAGGUUAUUUGUGAUGUCACUAGGUCACAUCCUUUGCUUCUAAUUUGUUUACUCCUGGACCUGUGGGCUCUAGCAGAACUCUGCCACACCCUGGUGUGACAUAGAGCCACAUACCUUCCUCAGCCCUCAGUUUCCUCACUUGUCCUAGAAGAUAUUAUUAACAUUAAGUGAAUUACAUGUGUAAGUACUUUGAAAAGUUCAAGAUCUUUUACAAAUGUAAGGUGUUGAAUGAGAAGUAACUAAUACCUUGCAUAUUUUACAGCUUUGGAGCAGCUAAAAACUUGGGUGGCCUGACAUAACAGAUUAUCUGCCAAGUAUGCAGUUGGGAGACUUUCUAAGGAUUCCAAUUAUUUGCAUUUUACUUUAUUUCCCACUACUGUAGAUGGAGUUGGUUGUAUACUAUUUUAUUUCUCCUCCCCCAGGACGGCAAUGGAUACAUAGAUGAAAAUGAACUGGAUGCUUUACUGAAGGAUCUGUGCGAGAAGAAUAAACAGGAUCUGGAUAUUAAUAAUAUUACAACAUACAAGAAGAACAUAAUGGCUUUGUCGGAUGGAGGGAAGCUGUACCGAACGGAUCUUGCUCUUAUUCUCUGUGCUGGGGAUAACUAGAGU
rnacentral:sRNA from 1 species